ensembl:lncRNA
AGCAGACUUCCUGUACAUAAGGAAAGGAGGGUGGAACGGAGGCUGGGAAGGAGACAGCUAGAGAAAGAGCAGUAGGAGCUACUCCCUCGGCCUGAAGGUCAGAGGCCACUUUCAAGGACUAGAUGAGGCUGCCCUUCUAAGAGAGAGCUUGAUAACCUGACCCCAGCUGCAGUUUUGUUUCAAGAUGUUUAACAGAGGAGUCUAAGGCUGCAGACAAGUCUUCUUGCCUGGUGGCUCAGAUGGUAAAGAAUCUGCCUGCAAUAUUGGAGACCCAGGCUUGAUCCCUGGGUUGGCAAGAUCUCCUGGAGAAGGAAAUGGCAAUCCACCCCAGUAUUCUUGCCUGGAGAAUUCCAUGGACAGAGGAGCCUGGCUGCCAUUCCACGAGGUAGCAAAGAAUCAGACAUGACUAAGCUACUGCCACUUCACUUCCUAAGGCUGCAGCUAAAAUGAAGCUACUCCCAUACCUAUUGGAUCCCAGGUCCCAGAGGGAAUCAGUUUUACCGGUUUUGAAUUUUAGAUGAGAAACUGCUGAGUCAAACAAAAUUUAAUCCCCAUGACUGACUUGCUCUUUAAAAAGUUUGUAAGAGUGUACUGACCCACCAGCUGUGCCCAGGUAACAACAUAUUUGGAGCUUUUCUUUCUGGAACACGAGUAUAUAUCACAAAUUAUCAAAUAUGUUGGAGAAGGGCUUGUCAGAGACAAAAACAGGUAUGAGAGAUAAGUUUUCAUUCUUCCUUUGAUGUAAAUCUUUAACUGACACUAGUCAUAUUGGUUAAAAGCUUCCUGAAUCUGAGGCAAUAAAAUAGUUUGCCAGCAUGGGACGUGCAGUGAGCCCUGCAGUGAUAGAGUAAAAAACUGAGUUAAGUGAGAAAAGAAAGAAAGGAUAGCCUCUGAGCACACGGAGACAAUGUGCCAGCUGUGAAUUCUGGAGGAAAGGACUGUGUCUUGCCUUAAACAGGAGCAAUUUGAUCUCAGACUAAUCACUUCACUUCUCUGAACACUGUUUCCCACUUAUAAAGUAGGAAUAGUCAUCAUCUCAGCCAGUUUUAUCUCUCAGAGUUGUGAUGAGAAUCAAAGAUGAUGAAUAUAAAAGGGUUUUGUAAAUUAUAAAUGUUCACAAAAUCAUUUAAAUAAAGUUAUAGUGAUUUGAAAGUCUCUGUUAAUUUGUUUUCACACUCCAGGGAAGAAAUUAGGUAGGACGUAAAAGCAG